UUUUUUCUCAUUCUUCUUUCACAACCCUAAAGAAACAUAGUUGCAGCUCUCUCUGCCUCCUAUCGCCACCGCCAAGAUCCCUCCUCAGUUCCACAAAAUCUCACCUAUCGACAAUCAUACACUCGAUCUAAGAUCUCUGUUACCUAUCAAUCAAGAUUGUUGUUUUUCAGCCCAAUUCCAAGCACAGCCAGGUACCACUGAAGAGUUGGUCGCCACGAGAAAUAUGGAAUAUUUAAAAGCAACUAUUGCAGUUAGAUGUGUUUGGAUGGCUUCAUCAACAAAUAAGGGUGAUGUGCAAUUUUGCAUUAGCCUUAAAAUGGGUGGAAACUGGGACGGAAUGCCCCAGCCGUCGCAUCCAGUAAUUACGGCUAGGGUUGCGACCAGUUGAUCUGGAGCCAGCUCAGUUGACAGAUUCAAACAUUUAAAUGCGAUUUUUAGUCGAGUACUAAAUGUAAUCAGAUAACAAUUGAACCCCUCCAACUUUCAGGUACUUCAGAUGGUUCAAACAGUUAGUUGGUAUUUCAGCUUCAUGAUAUUUUUUAGUCCAGUACUAAAUGCUUCGAGGAAUUUCAAUGCUAAGUAAAUUGGCAAAAUGGGUGAAUUUUUGUGUAUGUCAAAACGGGUCGGGUUAGACUGGGUAAUCCAUAAUUUAUUUAAAUUUAUUUAUACACACUCAGUGAAUCAAUUAUGUGUUAAUAAAACUACACAAAGUCAGUAAUAAUCUAAAUUAUGAAAGAUGAUUGAGGUAAGUUUGUAGGUCUUUCGACUCAUUUCUUUUUAGUUAACCUUUUACUUGACCCAUUGACCCGUUACAGAUAAUCACAAUCCGAACUGACCCAUUCAUAAGUAAAUUUGUGGUAUGCAGAUUGCUCUGGGUAAUAUAUUGAAGUUCCGAAAGAAAAACUGGCAGUUCGAUAUUAUUGGUGGUUUCAUAUACUUCAUCUUAACCUUUUCAAUGUUCCCACUGGUUAUCACUCAUUAUGUGAAUGGUAUAGAAAUGUGGAAAGUGAACAUUUUCCGGACCCCACAGAUCUAAAGGCGCGUAUAGAGCAAUGGACUUUCGGUCUUUAUCCCACUUGUAUUAAGUAUCUUAUGCCAACUUUGGAUGUUCCAGAGGUUCAAAUUAUUUUUUAGUUAUUUUAACUUUCAGGGUUAAAUUUCUAUCCUAACAGCAAAGAUUAUACUCAUGCUAUAGUGCUACAGUUUCGAUCAUGUGAGUGUAUUCCAAGCUCUUUGACUUGCCGACUUAUUGCUUUUGCGCCUUUUGUAGCUGACAGUUUUUUACAACUGAUGCCUUAAUUAUUGUUACCUUUAUUUUUACAAAGUCAGUAUAGAUAUCCUUUCACCACUGACCUACCUAGAACAUAUCUAUAUAGAACAUUCAGCCCUAAAUUGUUCAUCCAGUUUAGACUCCAAGAAGAGCAGAUCAAGUUUUAUUCAAAAAGGUAUGCGACUAGACAUUUUUCAAUCUUCAAAGUUCCGGUUAGGUUUACUAGAUUAUUGUAUUAUGUUUAUAUCGGAAUUGAACAUUUGUACUUGGUUAUUAAGGUUGUAUUUGAUUCGAUUUUGUUUUAUUAGGCCAUUUGAUUAUGGUUUGUUUGU